rnacentral:misc_RNA from 1 species
AUAGUGUUGGCAGUCUUGUAUUCACGAGAGCUUAACAAAUCACCUACUAACAGCCAGGAAGCGGAAAAGUACGAGAUCUGUGACGAUGAACAAUGUUUUAAUCUCGGCCUAGAACUGGUAAAGAACAUGAAUAAGAGCGUUGAUCCUUGCGAAGACUUCCACGCCUAUGCAUGCGGUGGAUGGGAAAGCAGACAUCCCUUGGAGGACAACGCAACAUUGGCAAUAACUUCACCAUCUAUUGUGUCUAACGAAAACAGCAACGUUCUUAAAAAGGCUUUGGAAUAUGCUCAUCUGAAUUAUUCAAAGAACGACGCUGUGAUGAAAAUGGUACGUGUGUACGACUCUUGUAUGAACACCACCGCGGUAGAUGCCCUAGGAUUACAGCCCCUCAAAGAUUUGAUCGAAGAAUAUGGCGGAUGGAGCAUUUCACAGAACUACAACCCAAAUGUUACCGUAGCGCAACGAAUUGGCAGAGCUGCACGUGAACUGAAUAUCGACUCUUUGUUUGGCAUGGAUGUGCGACCCUUUUUCUUAAACUCUGAUGUGAAUGUGCUAAUGUUAAAAGGGCUGGCAACAGGACUUAACAAAAGGGACUAUUUGGAUCAAGACGAAGACAGUGAAAAGAAACGUAAAGAAUACAAAAACUACAUGAAAGCUGUGAGUCAAAUCUUUAAUGUCUCGUACACCAAAAUGAAGGCAAUCUAUGAUUUUGAAGUAAAACUGGCUAAGAUUUCAAGUGGAAAAGACCCUGAUGCAGAGUUGAUGGAAUAUAUUAAGUCCAUUGCCAUAUCCGCUAGAAUCAGAAGAAGUACAGAAGAUUGGACAAUAACGCUUUCUAGGCUUAGCAGAGUGACUGGGUUUCCGUGGCCCGUGCUGAUUGAAGUUUUGGAUAUUCUGUUUGACAGACGGUUAACUGGAAAUGAAAAAGUACUUUCUUUGCCUGCCCAUAUAGUCUUAUUUAAAGCGAUUGGUCUUUUGUAUAGGAAAACAAAUCAUGCACUUUUAGCUGACUACAUUAUGUGGCAAGUCGUACGUCAUUACGUUGGUGGUCUUCCUAAUCAAUAUCGACCACCAAAAGGAGAUUUUUUAAUAAGCACCAACAUACCACGAUGGAAGCAGUGCAUCUAUGCCAUGUUGAUCCCCUUUGACAUGCCACUCGGCCUACUGUUUGUGGAUGUUCAUUUUAAUGAUGACGCUAAAGUUAAGAUCAGAGAAAUGAUCGAAAACACUAGAACUUCAUUUAUCCGCAAACUACCAACUCAAACUUGGAUGGACAAAAUAACUCAGGAGAAAGCAAAGGAAAAGGCGCUGGCAAUCGCCAUUGAGGAAAUUGGAUAUCCAGCGUACAUCAAGGAUCCUGUAAAACUCAAGGCACAGUAUGAUUCGCUCAAAGUAACAGACAGCCUGAUGGACAACAUGAAAGCCGCCAAUCAUUUACUUAGAAUGAGAACUUUAAAAAACUUUGAGCGCCCAGUGGACAAAAAAGAAUGGACAUUUGCAAGUCCGGCCAAAUACAAUGCUUUCUAUGCUCCUUUCUUGAACCGAAUAAUAUUCCUUGCUGGAAUUCUUCAAAAACCGAUGUACAGCCCAGGAUAUCCGAGCUACCUGAAUCAUGGUGGUAUAGGAAUGGUUAUAGGCCAUGAAAUCACGCAUGGUUUUGAUGGAACAGCCUUACUGGUGCCUCGCCUCAUCUUACCGUAACCGAAACUACUCGUUGUGGUUUGGAUAAAUUACUGGGCAACAACGAUGUGAAGGCAUUUCAAUAUUACCUACCGAGUCGUUUGUUCGACAAGAAGGGCAAUUAUAAUAAUUGGUGGUCAGCUUCAUCUGCAGCAGCCUUUGUUUCCAAAGCAAAGUGUUUCGUCAAAC